AAGUCGAAAUCCGCUAAGGAGUGUGUAACAACUCACUUGUCGAAUCAACUAGCCCCAAAAAUGGAUGGCGCUGAAGCGCCCUACCCACACCCGGCCAUCUGGGCGAGCACCAUGCCCAGAUGAGUAGGAGGGCACGGCGGGCGCUGCAAAACCCGGGGCGUGAGACCAGGCGGAGCGGCCGUCGGUGCAGAUCUUGGUGGUAGUAGCA
rnacentral:ncRNA from 1 species